rnacentral:lncRNA from 11 species
CUUCAUAUGUAUUGUCAUUCUUGCUUCUCACUAAAUGGUUACCAUUUUUUCUUGUAGUAGAGCAGAAACUCUGAGAAUAUUCAGCAAAGCAUUACUCCAGAAAGAGCAAAUAAAUAACAAAUAUGCAGCUGAGUGAUCUGAGGGAGUAAGGAGGAGGAGACAAAAGAAAGAAGAAUAAGGAUGGAAAGAAGAUUUAAAAAUAUUCAAAAAAUGCUCAAAAUGUUUUUCAAGUGUUAAGAAGCUCUGAUGUAAAGACUCCUGGACUGAUGAGAACUUUUGCAGUUCUGGACAUAUACUAUACAAAAUUUGUAUGUGGUUCUUUUGUG